rnacentral:rRNA from 1 species
CCUACGGGGGGCAGCAGUGGGGAAUAUUGCACAAUGGGGGAAACCCUGAUGCAGCGACGCCGCGUGAGUGAAGAAGUAUUUCGGUAUGUAAAGCUCUAUCAGCAGGGAAGAAAAUGACGGUACCUGACUAAUAAGCCCCGGCUAACUACGUGCCAGCAGCCGCGGUAAUACGUAGGGGGCAAGCGUUAUCCGGAUUUACUGGGUGGAAAGGGAGCGUAGACGGGAGAGCAAGUCGGAAGUGAAAUCCCAUGGCUUAACCAUGGAACUGCAUUUGAAACUGUGCAGCUAGAGUGCAGGAGAGGUAGGCGGAAUGCCUAGUGUAGCGGUGAAAUGCGUAGAUAUUAGGAGGAACACCAGUGGCGAAGGCGGCUUACUGGACUGUAACUGACGUUGAGGCUCGAAAGCGUGGGGAGCAAACAGGAUUAGAUACCCGUGUAGUU